rnacentral:rRNA from 1 species
GUAGGGUGCGAGCGUUAAUCGGAAUUACUGGGCGUAAAGGGCGCGUAGGCGGCGCGGUAAGUCACUUGUGAAAUCUCUGAGCUUAACUCAGAACGGCCAAGUGAUACUGCAGUGCUAGAGUGUGGAAGGGGCAAUCGGAAUUCUUGGUGUAGCGGUGAAAUGCGUAGAUAUCAAGAGGAACACCUGAGGUGAAGACGGGUUGCUGGGCCAACACUGACGCUGAUGCGCGAAAGCCAGGGGAGCAAACGGGAUUAGAUACCCCGGUAGUCCUGGCCCUAAACGAUGAAUACUUGGUGUCUGGAGUUUUAAUGCUCCGGGUGCCGUCGCUAACGCUUUAAGCAUUCCGCCUGGGGAGUACGGUCGCAAGACUG